AGUUAAUGAGCUUGAAAUAAGCAUAUAUUUUGAAAAUAUAAGAUAAGGAAAUUUACCUUAUUAACUU
rnacentral:tRNA from 1 species